GGAAGUAAAGUCGUAACAAGGUUUCCGUAGGUGAACCUGCGGAAGGAUCAUUAAAGUUAUAGUCCCCCGGCCCUCUGGGCUGGGGUCUUCUAUACCACCCUUUGUUUAUUACACCUUUGUUGCUUUGGCAGGCCUGCCCUCGGGCUGCUGGCUCCGGCCGGCUCGCGUCUGCCAGAGGACCUAAACUCUGUUUGUAUAUGAAGUCUGAGUACUAUAUAAUAGUUAAAACUUUCAACAACGGAUCUCUUGGUUCUG
rnacentral:misc_RNA from 1 species